rnacentral:lncRNA from 1 species
UGAGAAUUACGCCGAGGAUUAAUUUAUGUAUUAAUUUUUCCUAUUAAAAUUACAGGUAAAUAAUUACAUAGGGAGGUCGGAUUAUGUUGUAGUUACAAUCACAAAAACUGUUAUUGCAACAUGGUUGCAGGUAGCGUAGUAGCAACUUCUUGGCCCUUAUGAGCAAAGAUAAGGGAAAUUUUAUUGGGAGGCACAAUCCUUCUCUUCAAAACCAACAAAUUUUUUGGUUAAUUUAAGUUCCAAUCCCUCACAAAAAAAAUUUAAAAACGAAAAAAAAAAAAACAAUGCCUCCAUCUACGAACGUCGAGUGCUGAUGCUAGUACCACUCUUUCUUUGAGCAACUCCUCCUCACAUUUGGCUCCGAUUGAGUCAAGUUACAUUUAGUCUCUCCUCAACCCUAAGAGCAAAGGGGAGCUACAUUGUGUCGUCCGCGAUCAUUAGAAAUGGAAGCUAUAUAUUCGAACGGCAAGCAAGAUGAAGCUACCUCAUCACUGUUUUCUAUGGUGUUGUUUAAAACGAGGUGCCACGAACUUGACCAUUGAUCCUAAGUCUGAU